CCUCAUUUUUCAAAACCUAAUUCCUUUGCCUCAGACGCCGCUUGUUUUCUCUGCUCCAAGAACGAUGAUUGAUUGAGAAAAGCCUUCAAAAGUUCCACCGCUGCUCCUCCUCCCCAGCGUUACCUCCACGGCAUUGUUCCUCUGCAUCAGCUAAUCAACAUCAGUUUAUGAGUCACCCAAGUACGGACCUGUUCAAUGAAGAAUUCUAAAAUGUGAGAAACGAGAUGCUAAUGUUAAUGUAAUUUAUUGUAUGAACCAAAAGAACAACAAGACCAAGGGAUGACGGAUAAGGCAACAACAUCGUGAAACGUCACAUCCCUUCUGUCCCGUAGAAGAUUUUCCUACCAGGUUUUGUCCAUGAGAUAUGGUUUGAGUUAGGUAAACAUUUGAAUGUUAUAAUGCUCUCUUAAAAUAAAAUACUACUUUUGUUAAACAAUUUUGAAUAUGAAUCAAAUUAUGUUCUAGAUCCCUACUUAAAAAUCCAUGGUAUAACUCGGCUUUCGAAGGUUCGGCUUUAGGGUUUAGGAUUUAGGGUUUAGGGUUUAGGGUUUAAGGUUCGGCUUUCGUGAGAGACUCUUCCUUCCUGCAAAUCAUGAUAACCGAAACUUCUAUCCAUGGUAAUUUAUGCUUCUGUAUAUCUGUAUUCUCUUAUCUUCCUUAUUAAUUACUAAACCAUGUAAAUCAUAUUUAUUUUUUGUCAUGAUAGUGAGGGAAAGACACAUGUAUAUUUCAAUGGGAUUCUAUACCAAAUUGCUAGUUUUGGUACAGCCGGGCAACUAUUAUGGCCCGUGUUAUUAAGAGGUUGUUCACUACAUGAUGUAGAAAUUCAAGAGUUGGGUUUUCUAAGUGAAAUGAUGGUGGGUCUAUAGUUAAAUGGAAAUAGGGAUAAGUGGGAAUGGGAACCUGAAGCAUCUGGGUCGUUUUCAGUCAGCUCAUGCAGGAAAUUGUUUUGCGUUGGAGCAGUCCCCGAUUAUCCUUUUUGAGUGGGUAAAAUGGGUCCCUAAAAAGAUAAAUAUAUUUGGGUGGCGAGCGAAACAAAACCGGUUGCCUACGCUAGCAGAACUCCAGAAAAGAACAUAUACCGGGGGCUUUGUGCAAUUUGCCAAUAGAAAUAAGAAAUAAUGCUGAAGAGGCACUGCAGAAAUUAAAUGGUACCACGAUUGGCAAGCAGAUUGUGCGGCUUUAUUGGGGACGUACCCCAGCAAAUAAAAUAAACAGAGAAACGAGUUUGGGAAACAGCGGGGCGGGCCAUACUAUGGAGGCCACGUCUUUGAUGGGUACGAAUACGCGAUGAAACCAAUCAGCACGCUAAUCGAGGAGUUGGUUGUGCUGCAAAUCUACGAAUUGUAGAGUGCUGAAGAUGGACGGGGAAAUGAGGUUUUCAUUAUCACUAUAAACCAGUCAUUCCGGUUUUGAAACCACUACGGGUGCACUAAAUUGUGAUUUUUUGGCUUAAUAAACAUUCUUUAAGUUUUGUUUUGGGAUAUAACUGAUAAAUUUGAUCCAUGGGAACAUAUUAAUAAAGUUUGGAGUUUUUUUUCGUAUAAUGUAUUUUCUUCGCAAAUGAAUCCUUAGUUUUUUAUCUUCAGUGAAAUAAACGUGACUUGAAUCA